AACGAACGCUGGCGGCAGGCUUAACACAUGCAAGUCGAGUGCCCCGCAAGGGGAGCGGCAGACGGGUGAGUAACGCGUGGGAAUCUACCCAUCUCUACGGAAUAACGCAUGGAAACGUGUGCUAAUACCGUAUACGUCCUUCGGGAGAAAGAUUUAUCGGAGAUGGAUGAGCCCGCGUUGGAUUAGCUAGUUGGUGGGGUAAAGGCCUACCAAGGCGACGAUCCAUAGCUGGUCUGAGGGGAUGAUCAGCCACACUGGGACUGAGACACGGCCCAGACUCCUACGGGAGGCAGCAGUGGGGAAUAUUGGACAAUGGGCGCAAGCCUGAUCCAGCCAUGCCGCGUGAGUGAUGAAGGCCCUAGGGUUGUAAAGCUCUUUCACCGGUGAAGAUAAUGACGGUAACCGGAGAAGAAGCCCCGGCUAACUUCGUGCCAGCCGCCGCCGUAAUAC
rnacentral:rRNA from 1 species